rnacentral:lncRNA from 1 species
AGACAAGGUGGGUCUGGGGUGGAGCCUGAGAGUCUCCCUUUCUUACAAACCACUAAUUACGCCAAAGCAAGGCCGGCCUGGAACACUGCAUCGCGAGCUUGACUGCACAUUGGAAUCACCUGGGGAGUGUUAAACACUUCUGAUGCCUGGGUCCCAGGCCCAGAGAUGCCAACUUCACUUGUCUGGGAUGUAGCCUGGCUAUCUUUUUUUCCUGAAAUCUCCCCAGGUGGUUACCGGGUGCAGCCUAAGUUGAGAACUACUGUCCCAGAAGGCCGCCUGUUCUGAGGAAUUCUUCCAUCAUCACUAAGCUGCUCUUUAUUAAGCUGGCUCGCCGGCAGGAGUUGAUUGGUAUCAGGUGACUUCUAAGUUAGAGCAGCCUGGUGCCGUGUUACAGCCCUGCUUCAAUUACCUUACCUGGAGUAAGUACUAUUUUUACAUCUGAUGACCCACUGUGUGCCAUCCGCCUAUCUACUGGGCUGGAUGCACGUAUACAAAGACAAUAAAGCCAGAACUUCUCUCAAGGUGUUUACAACCUGCUGUUUUUCUCCUUGAGACUGGCGUUUGCUUUCAGUGAAUAUGAUCAGUGACAGGGAUCCUGAAAGGAGAGCACAAUAAAGCUCUGCAGAAGCCUCCAUCUGCCAAAAUAAGCUCUGGGAGAAGCCAGGUGCCAUGUUGUGAGGACACUGGAGCACCCCUAAGGAGGCCUGUGUUGUGGGAACUGAGGCCUCCUGCCAUCAGCCAGCACCCACUUGCCAGCCAUGUGAAUAAACCAUCUUGGAAGUGGAUCCUCCAGCCCAUUAUGUCCUCAAAUGACAGCAAAUUCAUGAACGACUGUGAGCCAGAACCACCCAGCUAAGUCACUACCAAAUUCUUGACCCACAGAGACUGAGAUAAUACAUAAUAUUUAUUAUUGUUUUAAGCUACUAGGUUUUGGGGGCAUUUUUUACCUAACAAUAGGCAACUAAUAUGGUAGAUGUGUUUUGUACAAUGCUUCGUUACUGAAAUGGCUCUAGAUUUGCAAGUCACUACUUCAGAAUUUGGUUAGUUCCUCUGAAGUACUAUCCUUACCAUGAGCCCUGUGCUUAUCAUCUGGUGCGUACACCAGAAAACUGGCUUCUCCCCAAGGGUAAAUAAGUGAGAGAAGCGAUAAAGAACUUAGUAACGCUUUCUCU